rnacentral:rRNA from 1 species
UACUUAGUGGCGCACGGGUGCGUAACGCGUGGGAAUCUACCCUUUGGUUCGGAAUAACAGUUGGAAACGACUGCUAAUACCGGAUGAUGACGUAAGUCCAAAGAUUUAUCGCCGAGGGAUGAGCCCGCGUAGGAUUAGGUAGUUGGUGUGGUAAAGGCGCACCAAGCCGACGAUCCUUAGCUGGUCUGAGAGGAUGAUCAGCCACACUGGGACUGAGACACGGCCCAGACUCCUACGGGAGGCAGCAGUGGGGAAUAUUGGACAAUGGGCGCAAGCCUGAUCCAGCAAUGCCGCGUGAGUGAUGAAGGCCUUAGGGUUGUAAAGCUCUUUUACCCGGGAUGAUAAUGACAGUACCGGGAGAAUAAGCUCCGGCUAACUCCGUGCCAGCAGCCGCGGUAAUACGGAGGGAGCUAGCGUUAUUCGGAAUUACUGGGCGUAAAGCGCACGUAGGCGGCUUUGUAAGUAAGAGGUGAAAGCCCAGAGCUCAACUCUGGAAUUGCCUUUUAGACUGCAUCGCUUGAAUCAUGGAGAGGUCAGUGGAAUUCCGAGUGUAGAGGUGAAAUUCGUAGAUAUUCG